rfam:Caulobacterales bacterium RIFCSPHIGHO2_01_FTLL_67_30 rifcsphigho2_01_scaffold_5135, whole genome shotgun sequence.
AAGGGAACACGGUGAGACACCGUGGCUGUGCCCGCAACUGUAGGCGGCGAGAGCGUCGUCCGUCCGGGGUCUCGACCCCGGCGCCACUGGGUGACUGGGAAGGCGAGGACGGCGGUUUAUGACCCGCAAGCCAGGAGACCU